GACGAACGCUGGCGGCGCGCCUAAUACAUGCAAGUUGAGCGCUGAAGGUUGGUACUUGUACCAACUGGAUGAGCAGCGAACGGGUGAGUAACGCGUGGGGAAUCUGCCUUUGAGCGGGGGACAACAUUUGGAAACGAAUGCUAAUACCGCAUAAAAACUUUAAACACAAGUUUUAAGUUUGAAAGAUGCAAUUGCAUCACUCAAAGAUGAUCCCGCGUUGUAUUAGCUAGUUGGUGAGGUAAAGGCUCACCAAGGCGAUGAUACAUAGCCGACCUGAGAGGGUGAUCGGCCACAUUGGGACUGAGACACGGCCCAAACUCCUACGGGAGGCAGCAGUAGGGAAUCUUCGGCAAUGGACGAAAGUCUGACCGAGCAACGCCGCGUGAGUGAAGAAGGUUUUCGGAUCGUAAAACUCUGUUGGUAGAGAAGAACGUUGGUGAGAGUGGAAAGCUCAUCAAGUGACGGUAACUACCCAGAAAGGGACGGCUAACUACGUG
rnacentral:rRNA from 1 species